AGAAGGGCUUCCACGACGGCGACGUUUGGGGGCCUUUUCUUUUGC
rfam:Agrobacterium vitis S4 plasmid pAtS4b, complete sequence.